AACUUGAGCAAUGAACUGUUGUUCUUAUCUAUCCCUCCUUCCAACACCUGUAGUGUUAUAGUGAGAACAAAUCUUAGUAUAUGUGAAGAAUCAGGAGGUGAUAGUGGAACCUUCCUUAAGUUUUUGAGUUUGAAUCGAGAGUAAAAUAAAGUGGUGGUCUUGAGCUCCUAAAUUAGUUGGUUCCCGUAGGAACUGAAGAGUAAUUGAAAAAGGAAUUUCAGUGUUCUUGACUGAAAAUUAAGGUAUCUUUUGCUUCGAUAGGCGAACUGCAGAGGUUAAGGUUUGGGUAGCGGGUAAAGUGGCAGGUAACCUUGAUGUAAGUGGCGUUGGCUCGGCCGAAGGAGAGAUUAGUGUCUGGGUUGAGUAAGGUGUUUGGUUGUGUAUAACGAGGUAACUGUAACUACCGGUAUCUUUUUGUAGGCAGUAAUGUGGUUGUAGUCAGUAAGGGUGAUGUUUUUUUUGCUUGUAAGUAACUAUUGUAAAUUAUGUAUAGUUAACUAUCACAAACGCACCGUAUGUAAAUUAGUUAGUAAUGUUAUGAAUAUAGCCAAGUUUGGGUCUAGGGCUGUUUACAUUUGUGCUGAAUGUUUCAUUUUAAAGAAUUGAGGUUUUAACUUCAA